rnacentral:rRNA from 1 species
AGUGAACGCUGGCGGUAGGCCUAACACGUGCAAGUCGAACGGCAGCACAGGAGAGCUUGCUCUCUGGGUGGCGAGUGGCGGACGGGUGAGGAAUACAUCGGAAUCUACUCUGUCGUGGGGGAUAACGUAGGGAAACUUACGCUAAUACCGCAUACGACCUACGGGUGAAAGCAGGGGACCUUCGGGCCUUGCGCGAUUGAAUGAGCCGAUGUCGGAUUAGCUAGUUGGCGGGGUAAAGGCCCACCAAGGCGACGAUCCGUAGCUGGUCUGAGCGGAUGAUCAGCCACACUGGAACUGAGACACGGUCCGGACUCCUACGGGAGGCAGCAGUGGGGAAUAUUGGACAAUGGGCGCAAGCCUGAUCCAGCCAUACCGCGUGGGUGAAGAAGGCCUUCGGGUUGUAAAGCCCUUUUGUUGGGAAAGAAAUCCAGCUGGCUAAUACCCGGUUGGGAUGACGGUACCCAAAGAAUAAGCACCGGCUAACUUCGUGCCAGCCGCCGCCGUAA